GGUUAAGCGACUAAGCGUACACGGUGGAUGCCCUGGCAGUCAGAGGCGAUGAAGGACGUGCUAAUCUGCGAAAAGCGUCGGUAAGGUGAUAUGAACCGUUACAGCCGGCGAUGUCCGAAUGGGGAAACCCAGUGCAAUUCGUUGCACUAUCGUUAACUGAAUACAUAGGUUAACGAAGCGAACCGGGGGAACUGAAACAUCUAAGUACCCCGAGGAAAAGAAAUCAACCGAGAUUCCCCCAGUAGCGGCGAGCGAACGGGGAGCAGCCCAGAGUCUGAAUCAGCUUGUGUGUUAGUGGAACGGUCUGGAAAGUCCGACGGUACAGGGUGAUAGUCCCGUACACCAAAAUGCACAGGCUGUGAACUCGAAGAGUAGGGCGGGACACGUGGUAUCCUGUCUGAAUAUGGGGGGACCAUCCUCCAAGGCUAAAUACUCCUGACUGACCGAUAGUGAACCAGUACCGUGAGGGAAAGGCGAAAAGAACCCCGGCGAGGGGAGUGAAAAAGAACCUGAAACCGUGUACGUACAAGCAGUGGGAGCACCUUCGGGUGUGACUGCGUACCUUUUGUAUAAUGGGUCAGCGACUUAUAUUCUGUAGCAAGGUUAACCGUAUAGGGGAGCCGCAGGGAAACCGAGUCUUAACUGGGCGUUAAGUUGCAGGGUAUAGACCCGAAACCCGGUGAUCUAGCCAUGGGCAGGUUGAAGGUUGGGUAACACUAACUGGAGGACCGAACCGACUAAUGUUGAAAAAUUAGCGGAUGACUUGUGGCUGGGGGUGAAAGGCCAAUCAAACCGGGAGAUAGCUGGUUCUCCCCGAAAGCUAUUUAGGUAGCGCCUCGUGAACUCAUCUUCGGGGGUAGAGCACUGUUUCGGCUAGGGGGUCAUCCCGACUUACCAACCCGAUGCAAACUACGAAUACCGAAGAAUGUUAUCACGGGAGACACACGGCGGGUGCUAACGUCCGUCGUGAAGAGGGAAACAACCCAGACCGCCAGCUAAGGUCCCAAAGUCAUGGUUAAGUGGGAAACGAUGUGGGAAGGCACAGACAGCCAGGAUGUUGGCUUAGAAGCAGCCAUCAUUUAAAGAAAGCGUAAUAGCUCACUGGUCGAGUCGGCCUGCGCGGAAGAUGUAACGGGGCUAAACCAUGCACCGAAGCUGCGGCAGCGACACUAUGUGUUGUUGGGUAGGGGAGCGUUCUGUAAGCCUGCGAAGGUGACCUGUGAGGGUUGCUGGAGGUAUCAGAAGUGCGAAUGCUGACAUAAGUAACGAUAAAGCGGGUGAAAAGCCCGCUCGCCGGAAGACCAAGGGUUCCUGUCCAACGUUAAUCGGGGCAGGGUGAGUCGACCCCUAAGGCGAGGCCGAAAGGCGUAGUCGAUGGGAAACAGGUUAAUAUUCCUGUACUUGGUGUUACUGCGAAGGGGGGACGGAGAAGGCUAUGUUAGCCGGGCGACGGUUGUCCCGGUUUAAGCAUGUAGGCUGGUUGUCCAGGCAAAUCCGGAUAAUCAAGGCUGAGGUGUGAUGACGAGGCACUACGGUGCUGAAGUAACAAAUGCCCUGCUUCCAGGAAAAGCCUCUAAGCAUCAGGUAACAUCAAAUCGUACCCCAAACCGACACAGGUGGUCAGGUAGAGAAUACCAAGGCGCUUGAGAGAACUCGGGUGAAGGAACUAGGCAAAAUGGUGCCGUAACUUCGGGAGAAGGCACGCUGGUGUGUAGGUGAAGCCCCUGCGGGUGGAGCUGAGACCAGUCGAAGAUACCAGCUGGCUGCAACUGUUUAUUAAAAACACAGCACUGUGCAAACACGAAAGUGGACGUAUACGGUGUGACGCCUGCCCGGUGCCGGAAGGUUAAUUGAUGGGGUUAUCCGUAAGGAGAAGCUCUUGAUCGAAGCCCCGGUAAACGGCGGCCGUAACUAUAACGGUCCUAAGGUAGCGAAAUUCCUUGUCGGGUAAGUUCCGACCUGCACGAAUGGCGUAAUGAUGGCCAGGCUGUCUCCACCCGAGACUCAGUGAAAUUGAACUCGCUGUGAAGAUGCAGUGUACCCGCGGCAAGACGGAAAGACCCCGUGAACCUUUACUAUAGCUUGACACUGAACAUUGAGCCUUGAUGUGUAGGAUAGGUGGGAGGCUUUGAAGCGUGGACGCCAGUCUGCGUGGAGCCAACCUUGAAAUACCACCCUUUAAUGUUUGAUGUUCUAACGUUGGCCCCUUACCGGGGUUGCGGACAGUGUCUGGUGGGUAGUUUGACUGGGGCGGUCUCCUCCCAAAGCGUAACGGAGGAGCACGAAGGUUAGCUAAUCCUGGUCGGACAUCAGGAGGUUAGUGCAAUGGCAUAAGCUAGCUUGACUGCGAGCGUGACGGCGCGAGCAGGUGCGAAAGCAGGUCAUAGUGAUCCGGUGGUUCUGAAUGGAAGGGCCAUCGCUCAACGGAUAAAAGGUACUCCGGGGAUAACAGGCUGAUACCGCCCAAGAGUUCAUAUCGACGGCGGUGUUUGGCACCUCGAUGUCGGCUCAUCACAUCCUGGGGCUGAAGUAGGUCCCAAGGGUAUGGCUGUUCGCCAUUUAAAGUGGUACGCGAGCUGGGUUUAGAACGUCGUGAGACAGUUCGGUCCCUAUCUGCCGUGGGCGCUGGAGAAUUGAGGGGGGCUGCUCCUAGUACGAGAGGACCGGAGUGGACGCAUCACUGGUGUUCGGGUUGUCAUGCCAAUGGCACUGCCCGGUAGCUAAAUGCGGAAGAGAUAAGUGCUGAAAGCAUCUAAGCACGAAACUUGCCCCGAGAUGAGUUCUCCCUGAGACUUUAAGUCUCCUGAAGGAACGUUGAAGACGACGACGUUGAUAGGCCGGGUGUGUAAGCGCAGCGAUGCGUUGAGCUAACCGGUACUAAUGAACCGUGAGGCUUAACCUU
rnacentral:rRNA from 1 species